GCUAGAGAAAAAGGAAGAGAGAACUGAUACCGUCUUGCUCUGCCUCAGGAAAAAAAAAAAAAAAACAACAAACAAACAGGUUCUCUUAACAGUCCCACAAUCCUUCUAGUUAAGCCAGUGGCUAAACAGGACAGCUUCGGCACUCGAGCAAGAGGAAUCAGGCAGGUUUUUUUAAAUUAACUUUUAGGGCCGUAUGAAAGUUCGCGGAAAGACGAAAGGGGAAAGCAUACUUAAUGCCCAGUUCUUACCUGUCUCUCUACUGGUCGGUUCAGAGGGCAGUCCUAGCCUCUCCUUCAGAGACCUGGGGACUUGAACUACAAGAGAGAACAGAAAAAGUUCAGCAGACUGCAUAAAUCUCCAUCUGGUGUUCUCAUAAAUCUCUUUUCGAAAUGAGACCCGUCACUUCACUGCGAUUCAGAGCUACCUUGAGCCCUCAACCAACACGCAAAAAGAACCUUUAGAAGAAAGGACAAACAGCAAACCUAAACAGAAAAUCUGUGCAUCAAAUCCAGAUGUCUGCUUAGUAGCCGUACCUCUCUUAGGUGCUUUGUCAGCACUCUCCAGAGCCUCUGUCUUCUUCCCCAGCCUGUCAGCAAGGUUGCGCUUUAGCGGAAGGACACUUUUACCAGCUUCAGAAAGAGAGAAAACAAGCAACACUUUAAGAACGUUUCUCUGGAGGAGGAUUUUAGAACAGUCAGCCACAAACUUCAAUGCUUCCAGGGAUCUUUUCUUAUAGUUGUCUUUCAGCUGCUAAAGAAAUUUGCCACUUCUGCCGUCAAUACGCAGCUCUGCCAAAAUGUAUUUUCCUCCUGCACGCAGCAAAAAAACCCCUGAAAUAUAGUCACGUUCAGAUGAGGGCACCCGAACAACAGCUCACAAAAAGCUCUUACCUGCGGAGGCUUUCCGUUUUCCCAUCCUCUCGCCAAGAUUCAGUUGAAUCACAGGCUCCUCCCCUAAAACACAGAAGAAUCUCUUCACUGCACAGAAACCAGUAGCCGGUUAGAGCAUUGUCCUUCUGGCCCACGUCCCAGCAAAAGGCACUCUUCGCGUAGCCAAACCACAGAAAACGAGUGACUACCAGUAGCAGUAGUGCCACACGUUUUUUGCCUUUCAAAGGAAUUUGUGCAGAUCUGAACACCACCACUUACACACAGACUCGUAUCACGCUACUGUCCGCAAGCGCCACCGUCAGCCUCGUCAAUGCUUCCAAAAUUGGCCACUUGUAUAAUACCGUCUUCUAUAGGUCUUCCCUUUCAUCACUCCCCAGUUUGUCAGUUAUCCCCUUAUUUCCGUACUGACACUUGUAUUGACAUUAGCCUCUCUCUCUCUGCUGCUGCUGCACUUAACCCAACCGCUACUUCUGCCCCAUGCUGCCGACACAUUAGCUCAUUCACAAAUCUCACUCAACUUCGGGAACAUCAAAGUCCAAUUAAGCACAUUGGAGAGUCUGUAAGAUGCUGUCAUACAUGAUGAGCUACAGCUUAACGUCAGGCUGAUGAAAAACACUGCUGGAUCUUUUGUUGCAACACAACAAACUGAGCACCUACAAAUGCCAAAUAUUUGCAAUCAAACCAGGGCCUUUAAGCAUAAAAGCAUGGCUUUAAUUAGAAAAGGCAGCACCAGCAGGCUAACGUGUCUGAAUGAUCUUAAUUAUUACUUAACCUUUCGGUUGAGGAGCCAUGAAAUGGAAACAAUAGUAUUCGCUAAAGUAAGGGAUAUUAACUCACCACCUUGGUUUUUUGUUUUUUCCUUUAGUUUCUCCAAUUUGAUUUCUUCAAGUGUUUUUAUUCCAAAAUUUAAGUUCUCCUCUGAAAACAGAAAAUGCUUAAUGAAGCUGAGGCUUAAAGGCACAUCUUGAAGAGCACACAUCCUCAAGCUGCUUACAGCUCAGAACCCUUCCAAAGUCUUCCAAAUCAACCCUCUCAACACUCCCCACAAGU